UGAGGAAUAUUGGUCAAUGGGCGGGAGCCUGAACCAGCCAAGCCGCGUGAGGGAAGAAGGCCCUAUGGGUCGUAAACCUCUUUUGUCAGGGAACAAAAGCGAGUAUGUAUACUAGUCUGAGUGUACCUGAAGAAAAACGCAUCGGCUAACUCCGUGCUAGCAGCCGCGGUAAUACGGAGGAUGCGAGCGUUAUCCGGAUUUAUUGGGUUUAAAGGGUGCGUAGGCGGCGAUGCAAGUCAGCGGUAAAAGCCCGGGGCUCAACCCCGGCGAGCCGUUGAAACUGCAGUGCUAGAGAAGGCGAGAGGUACGCGGAAUGCGCAGUGUAGCGGUGAAAUGCUUAGAUAUUGCGCAGAACUCCGAUUGCGAAGGCAGCGUACUGGCGCCUGACUGACGCUGAGGCACGAAAGCGUGGGGAUCGAACAGGAUUAGAUACC
rnacentral:rRNA from 1 species